GGGCUAUUAGCUACAAUUGGCAUUCAAAGUUAUUUGAGGAGAGGCUAGGUCCCCCCUCUCUCUCAUCGGUUAAUUGUCAAGUUCUGUGGGUGCAAGGUGUGAAUUCUACAAUUGUAUUGUGCAAAUCAAAGAAUCCAGGGAGUAAGCUAAUCAUAAAGGUCAUGUUUACGUAUUUGGGUAGAAUGCCUUCAGUACUCAAGCAUAAUCAAAGCUAAUUUGCACAAACUGAAAUUUAAGGCAUUUAGCAACUUAUUGGUUAAAUGGCUUCAUCAUCAUGGUCUCAUCCACCAGCUGAUGGAGAUCAGGGACAUAUGCAUUUACAUGGAUCAAAGGUGGAAAGGCAACAUAAAAAUGCUCGACAAAGAGAAAGGCGUCAAUAGUUAAAUUCCACAGAACGAGGGGAGAGUUCAGCCAACAGGCGUAUGAGUUAUCAAAUGUGACGUAAUAUGGAAAGUGGAAGCAAUGAUGAAAAUCAAAUUAUAGCAAGGAGGUCUAAUUUACUAAUUAGACUUCUCGAUUUAUGUGUAAAACAUAAUUAAGUAACAAUUAUAAAUAUUACCAUGUAAAUCAUUUUUUAUGUUAAG